AAAAAAAAAAAAAAAAAAACGAAGAAUAGCCUAUAGAAGCUGAAUUUCCUGAUAGUUUAUCUCUAUCAAAUUGAAUCAUUAUAUGGAAGGGGGGAAAAUUAAUGUGAACACUUAAUGCUACAACAUGAAAAAUGUUUUCUGCAUCACUUGCUCGAAACAACCUUCUUAAUCUGUUGGCGCACUUGGAAUUUGGAAAUAUAGAGAUGGAAGAGACUCUGUUAAGUUGUCCUAUUCUGUAUCUCUGAGACUUUCGCUUGUUAGCCACAACUUCUUUUGGAUAACAAACACCACAUCAUCUCCAUCCUGGUCUGAUUCUGAACUGGGAUCGGCUGUCGCCACUGUUUCCCAGUGCAAUGCCACUAAAUAUUUCUUUACAAAAUCUACUACGCUUUGUUUAUCACGAAUGAUUAUAAAACCAGUAGGUCUAAGCAUUCGAUCCAUCUCUAUAAGCAAAUCUUCAGCACUACAGCCUUUCUUCUCAAUGUCGGAAAAGACAGUCCAAGCAUGGAGCAAAUCAUAAGUCCGAGGAUAUGUUGAAAAGGCUUCACACCUGUCAAAAACACAUUCAUAUGAGAAUUUCAAAUUCCAAAUCAAUCACAUCAAAGAUCACCAAGACAAUGAAAGUUGAUGGAAAUGAAAAGCCAUCAUCAAAUAAACAAAAAAUAGUUACAAUUAGUUAAGAUAGAAACAUAUAUGCCCCCCAGGUUGUGUUGACAUAACAAGUCCAUUUCACUGUCCACAGCCUAUUUGUGGCAUCAGCAAUUUGGGAGGAAAAAACUAGAUCUUGUAUGUUCAUCAUUGUAGGAGUGGAACAAAUUGACAUAAUCUAAGGUGUCAGGGAGAUCAGGGAAAAGAACAAACAAUGAUAAUUAAGAGAACAAAAUCAGAUGACAAUUAUAAAUAAAUUUAAUUAAGUUGAUUUCCAUACCAGUUGUGUACAGUGCCAAUCAGGCCUCUGUCAUAUAUCACUUUCAGUGUGUUUGGUCCAUCUUCAGGCACAACAUUCAUAACCCAAACAUCCUUGUCUUUAAGGGCAGCUGCAAAGGACCCCAAGCUUGCUUUCAUGUCCAUCACGUUUCUCAGGGUGUCUGAUUGAAUCUUUGGACUCAAGAGAUUCCAAUAAUUCUCCACUCUAUGUCUCCAAAGUUCCGUGUCCUUCGCAAACAUUUCACUGGAAUAGCCAAAAUCAGCAAGGCUAGGAGGAGGAGUUGUUAGUCUAGCUGGCCAAGGAGCCAAACCACUCCCCUUAACUCUCUGGUCAUGAUCAGAAUAAGGUGUGAUGCAAGCUUCCAUUUGCACACCCCACACUGCAUCUGGAUCAUCAUCAGAUCGACAGAGAGGAGGUUGUGUGCCAGCUUCUCUUUCCAUAUAACAGUCAUUUGUUAAGGGUUUUUGCCAAACGACAGUCUGGUUCCUCUUAGCAGCUAUUUUCCAACACAUCCGUCCCACAAGUGCACUCAUUUCUCUCCAAAUCCUGAGAUCUUCUUCAUCCUGUGCAUAAGCUUCAGGAGAGGAGUAGGCAAAAUAGCCUCCUGGUCUAAGUAAACGAUCAAGCUCAAGAAGAAGAAUACCAUCCCUCUGAAGCCAAUCUAUUCUACAACGUGAACAGUGGGCAAGCUCAAAAGACCUGCUUGGGUAAGGGAGUCUCUUGGUCCCUAGAACACCAAGAUAUGCAGGAAUUCCUCUUUCUAGGGCAAACUGGAUUUGGUUUUGAUGCACAUCAUUAGGUGCCAAGGACAUUGCAAUGAUAUUGGAUGACAGUAGAUAAGCACCAAAGCUAGCAACACCACAGCCAACAUCCAGAACUGUUCUUAGCCUUCCUUCAUUGUUUAAAUUAUUUUUUGAAAAGUUAAGCAUAUUUGCAAUUGAAGCAAUAUAUUUAUCAGCUCCAUAGUGAAAAUGUGUGCCUCCCCCAGGAAAACUUAUCUUGUCACCUUUCACAACCAUCCAGUUCUGAUCAGAUUUCUCAUGUGCAAGGUGAGUAUGAGGAAUGUUUGCUUUCCAUACCUCAUCUCUACUUUUUGGCCACUUAAUUGGUAUCUUGUACCCUGGUGGCAGAGGAAUCAAGCAAUUAUAUCGCCUUUCUGGAGGAGGGCAAUGUCGUUCAUAGUGCUCCAUCAAAGAGAGAUCCAACUUCAAUCUCAUUUGAUAUAUCAGAUUUCUGUCUAAACAGGGAAUGAGUUCUGAAUGUCGAUUGUCACAAACAGGGAAGCUCUUUGGCACAGUAUAUUCCCCUCCAUCUUCCUGCCCAAAUUUGGUAGAAUCAUCUUGUUUUCCAUCAGAAUCAUCAUCCCCUCCCAAAUAAGAUGACCCAAGUUUUCUCAAGGACUUGCUGCCAUAUUCUAAAGCUGCAGCACCACGGCUUUGGGAGCCAAAAAAGGAUCCAUAAUAAAAAUACAUAAAUCCUAGAAAGAUUGCCACUACACAGACAGAAGUGAUUAACCGCUUCUUCUGGUUCCCAUCAGAUCUUCCCCUCAUUUUAUACCUAAUUGCAAAAAAUUCAAACAGAUUUUCCCACCCAAGCACUACAAGAUCAUAAUGCAGAUCUCAUCCCACUAUAACGAUCCUUUGCCAAUCUUACCAACCUGUUUCUUUGAUCACUCAAACUUCAAGGCUCUAACAUCAGAGAAAAAUAAACCGAUACAAAUUCACUUGGGAUUUAUUAGAUAGGAAGACAUCGGCCUGUUAAAAGGGUAAAAAAUGAAGGGACCGUUAGUAAAACCCAAAUGAAAAUAUUUGGAAUUGGAUAAGCUGGUAGAUGUAAGAACAUAUCCAACAGUUUAUGUUACAAAUCUUUGGAAUGAAUCUUCAGAUAUGUUUCUCAAUUCCAAAAAGCCAUAUUAGAUACUUGCUGGUGCAAAGAGCAAGAAAUAAAACAAAACAAAAGAAGUCGAAAAGCAAGAAAUCCUGCAAAUAAAACUAAUGAGUCAUUUGAGAAAACCGACUAACCUAGUUCAAGUUUGAACAGUUGAUAAAGGAUAACAGUUUAUCGGGUGUAAAAAGAAAAUCAAAACCAUUGAAAUCAAGAAAGCAUGAGUCUAAGACUAAAGAUGCCUACUGCCCAACUGUUGGAAAAAACAAGCACACAAUCUUUAUGAAUUCAGUAAAACAACAAAAAAAGUUGAACAGCAAAUUGCAAGCUUGUCUUUUAACAUUUAGAUCCGCGUUCUAGCAGAAAAUCGCAGACUAAAGUUCAAUAUUAAAAUUUUAUGAGCGCCAUCCUUUAUGAAUUGUGCAAAAAAAAAAAAAAAAAAGUUAAACAGCAAGUUGCAAGCUUUUCUUAAAAGAUUUAGAUCCGUGUUCCUGGUAAAAAACCGCAGAAUAAAGUUCAAUAAUACAAUAUCAUGAGUGUUGCCAAUUACUAAAGCUAUAUGCAUAUAACAUUUCUAACUUCCUCUGAUUGAAUCUAGUAAAUGGACAUCCAACCAAAAUGAAAAGGAUUGACCCGAUUAGAGGCAAAGACUGGGAUUGAAAAGCAAUAUUAGUUAUACAUAUAGGAAAUUUAAUUGAAAUAAAAGUUAACCAACAAAAUGGAAGCUACGCAAGCAACUUAAGUGGACCAAAACUAGCAGAUCUGGAGCAAAGCUACUACUUUGCAUUACAAACCAAUAACUAAUACAAUUGACUCGUUUAUCAAGCAAAGAAUGACAUUAAAACAAAUUGAUGCAUCCAGUCCUAACAAAAAACCGAUCAAUAUCUAAGUUAUUAACCAAGCCAAUCAAAACUUAGAUCGGAUUCCAAUCAGAUCCAGCAAAAAAAUCACAUCUUUUAAGCAAAACCCACAUAUUAGCACAAAGAAACAAUAAAAAAAUUGUUUUAAAAAAAAAGCAAUAAAAGAUAGCUUACUG
rnacentral:misc_RNA from 1 species